rnacentral:rRNA from 1 species
AUACGAAGGGGGCUAGCGUUGUUCGGAAUUACUGGGCGUAAAGCGUAUGUAGGCGGAUCGUUAAGUCGGGGGUGAAAUCCCGAGGCUCAACCUCGGAACUGCCUUCGAUACUGGCGAUCUUCGAGUCCGGGAGAGGUGAGUGGAACUCCGAGUGUAGAGGUGAAAUUCGUAGAUAUUCGGAAGAACACCAGUGGCGAAGGCGGCUCACUGGCCCGGUACUGACGCUGAAAUACGAAAGCGUGGGGAGCAAACAG